ensembl:processed_transcript Gm6556 predicted gene 6556
AAGGGCCCGUCCAGGCCGAGCGCCCCGGUUGCAAAAGUUGAGCUCCGCCGCGCGCGCCCUUCGCGCUCCCCUCCGCGCGCUCCUGCGCUCCUCCUCCUCCCCGCCCUCCUUCCCCAAGUUUUCACAGAUGUGGUCAGACUCUCCUCUCCUUCCCGGCUCCUUCUUCCCUCGCGCGCCCCCACCCCCGCCCCGUCCCUCUAAUUUCCGCCACUCGGAGGAGCGCUGGGGGGGGACGCGCCGAGCCGCGGGACGACGCCGCCGCCGCCGCAGGGGGCGAAGUUGGUUUAAAAACUUGGGAGGAGUGCUCGCCUUACUUUGCUUUCCCGCUCCUUUCCAGGCCGCGCCCGGCGGGGUCCGGCUCCGCGCGCGCGGAUCCCAGGGCGCUGCGCUGAGGGGCGGCACUGAGGCCGCGCGUCGGGCCGGGCAGGGCUGGCGCGGGCAGCCGGGAGCCACGCGCUCCACCGCCUCCGCCCCUCCCGGGUCCUCACACAGACACAUCCAGGCCUGCUCCUCCUCUUCCCCCUCCUUGACCCCGCGCCCGCGCGGCGCGCCAGGCCCCACCCACCCGGCAGGAGGAAGGGGCCCGCGGGUGAUGUCACCCGAGCCCUCCAGGCCUGCGCUCCCGCGCUGCCGAGCAGCCGGGGCUCGCGCGCUGCCGGGCGCUUCGCCCAUGCCUCCUCUCUUCGCUCUUCCCCCCCCCAACCCCGCUCUCGGGUUGGACUCCCCUUCCUUCUCUAGAGACCUCUCGGAUCGCCACUGCCCCACCCCCGCACACCUCCUGGUACUUUUCCCUAGGCCAAGCCUGAAACUUCCUCUCGCGGGAUGAUGCUUUUGAAAGUUGAAGACUUUCCUCCCCGUUGCGUUAAACUCCGUUUGGGACGUCUCGCCGUACAGCCUACUGUCCCCGUGGGCCACUUUGCAAAGAACACAAAGACCCGAGCUGGGAACCCGGACUUGAGCCGAGAACCCUGACUUGCACGGGGAUCUUUUCCUUAAGACGCAGAGUGCCUGUCCUUGGUUUCUUUUAAAAGACCCAUGUUACUUCAACCGGCCGGUGCACUCUCAUCUCUCUCUCCCCCAUCCAGGUACUCACCCCAACCUGUAACUUGAAAGGGAGGAUUUCAAGGGGGUGGAAGAAAGAAGAAAACCCAAGAGACAUUCCAGAAUACCGGAGUAAGCAGCUGGCCCACCAGGAGUGCCUGGGUGCUCAGGGUGCUCUGUGGCAGCCGUCUUGAAGGCAGAGUGGGUGGAUGAAUAGCUAUUAUAAUCUGAAGAACAUUUUGAAAUUCACGUGCUAAACUGGGGAAUUUUUUUUUAACGGAAUUGACAGUAGUAUUCGUUAUUUGUUUCUGGUGACUUGUUGCUUAUGACAAAGACAAAAGCAGAGAGUGACUUAAGCUUUCAGUGUGGGGCUCCAGACACUUCUUAGUCAUUUUUAAGCUUUCUCUCCGCUACAACACUCUGUAAGGCAAAAAGGAGGAGGAAGAGUGGAACAUCCGUCACUCAUCUCUGAGUGCAGAAAUAUCAACAAACAGAUGUAGCCCCAACCCUCCCCUCGGUAACUGGCCCCAGGCCCCAGAGUAUUCCCUCAGCCUCUCUAGACUCUGAGCCCACCGAUAGAUGAGUGAGAAAAUGCAGUCCUCCUAAGUCCCGGGACGGCUAUGGCUCUCCAGUGAGAUUAUACCUGCAAAGUUAUAAAAGACGAUAUAGUGUGUGAGAACUAUUUUCCUUUUUGGAAUUUCAAGUUAGUCAGAGGGAUGGUGUGUUCCAUUAAUGUCAGAUACAUUGUUUCUGGCAUUUGGGGCUGCUGCUGCCUCCACCGCGAGAAUGCAAAUACUGCAUCUUGAUAGUUUUCUCUGCUUAUCCAGUGGCAAAAGGGACAGCCCAUAAAUCACCGAGCAUAAAAUAUAAAUUUUGACUUUUACUUCUU